AGGGUUUGAUUAUGGCUCAGGACGAACGCUGGCGGCGUACCUAACACAUGCAAGUCGAACGGAGAUUUGAGAGCUUGCUUUCAAAUCUUAGUGGCGGACGGGUGAGUAACGCGUGAGUAACCUGCCUCUCAGAGAGGGAUAACGUUUUUAAAAGAACGCUAAUACCGCAUGAUAUCUCUUUAUCGCAUGGUAGAGGGAUCAAAGGAGCAAUCCGCUGAGAGAUGGACUCGCGUCCGAUUAGCCAGUUGGCGGGGUAACGGCCCACCAAAGCGACGAUCGGUAGCCGGACUGAGAGGUUGAACGGCCACAUUGGGACUGAGACACGGCCCAG
rnacentral:rRNA from 1 species